GGGGGGGGGGGGGGUGUGGCUCAAUGCUGCAAAAUCACUCAGUGCUGCUUCACUGAUGGUGAGUGUAUGAAAGGUAUUGUAAAAUAAAAUACAUUGAUAUGUACCCUUGCUACUUUUCAUCAUAUAGUAUAGUGAUGGAUGAAUCUUAAAUGUCAGGUAUGUGUUGUCGAAGGCUUUCAUGGCCGGGUUCACAGGGUUGUUGUAUGUUUUUAAAGUAAUGCUCUUUCCUUCUUCUAUGGCUAAUUUGUUAUAAAUUCUUUGAUGUGGGCCAACUUUACUUAUCAGGAUAUGUGGUUAAAUAGUGUUUCCUACCACAAGAUACAGGGCUUGUCACUAAUAUAGAAGGAUGUAAAAGGGGAGAGGACACCUUCGUAGAAUAGGACAACUUUCAUUGGAUACAGGUUGAGAAUCCCUUAUCCAAAAUGGUUGGGACUAGAACUGUUUUGGCUCUUGGCUUGUUUUUUAUUUUGGAAUAUUUGUAUAUACAUAAUAAGUUAUCUUGGAGAUGGGACCCAAAUUUGAGCAUGAGAUUGGUUCAUGUUUCGUAUGCACCUUAUUUACACUGCUUGAAACAAAAUUUGUGUACAUUGAAUAAUCAGAAAGCAAGGUGUCACUGUCCCAGUUACCUAUCUGAACACUUUUGGACUUUGCAAUUCCAGAUAAAGGAUAUUCAACCCAUAUUAAUAUUUUCUCCAUUGUUAGAGUGAUAUGUUUCUGAAUAAUACUUGUGAAGCAUGAUCAGGAGGAUGGUUUUGUCCCCAUGUCUUCCAAGUGGCAUCUUGUUCCCACCAUGGUUAGAUUGACAUGUGGACUAAUUGAGAAGAGCUUUUUUUAUUUUGUUGUGAAUUAUGAGUCUCUGCCAUAAUCUUGGAAGUCAAUCUUUGCUAAAAUGUGGGAUAUAAACAAGUAAUAAUGUGCAUACAGUGCCAUCAAUUGUGAGUACUGAGACUGUGUGCACUCUGAGACUUGGUUUUUCUCUGUGGUUCCUGUUCACUUGUCAAUAUUGACAAUACAUUGGCCACCACUACCUUUAGAGCGGAUGGUGCUGUAAUCCCACUCUCCCUUAUGUUCUUUCAUUCACCACCCAUUAUAAAGGGUUGUAGAUUUGCCUAUGUGCUGCCAGUGCAUUGCAUUCUAUCUUGCCUGCUGCUUCUGUCUUGAACCAGAAAGAUUUGUGUUCUGCUUCAGCGCUACAGUUUGUUCAAUUCAGCUCACACUCAAAUAUUUUGAAACAUUUCAACAAGCUAUCAGAAUACUGCCAUGUACAUUUGGCUGGGAUCUAUUAAUCUACAUGUCAGUAUUUUGAUAGCUUGCUGAAAUAUUUUAAAAUAUUAAUACUGAUAUAAGAAGAACUGGACAUUUUAAAGUAGCGGUGCUUAAAGUAAGUGCUAAUGUCCAGUAAACAGAAUAAAAAAAAGUCAGUAUUCACAACAACUUUGCUUAAAACACCACUACCUUCAGGACUUUAGUCUGUGGAAUAUUUUCAAUGUACAGUAGUCUCACUUAUCCAAGCUAAAUGGGCCAGCAGAAGCUUGGAUUAGCAAAUAUCUUGGAUAAUAAGGAAGGAUUAAGGAAAAGCCUAUUACACAUCAAAUUAGGUUAUGAUUUCACGAAUUAAGCACCAAAACAUCAUGUUAUACAACAAAUUUGACAGAAAAAGUAGUUCAAUACGCAGUCAUGUUAUGUUGUAAUUACUGUAUUUACGAAUUUAGCACCAAAAUAUCACGAUAUAUUGAAAACAUUGACUACAAAAAUGGCUUGGAUUAUCCAGAAGCUUGGAUAAGCGAGGCUUGGAUUAGUGAGACUCUACUGUACUUGAAAGACUGCAAAUGAACUGCAAGUGUGCUAUUAUUGCACUGUGCAUAUUAUGAUAUUUGUCAGAAAUAUAUUGGGUAUACUGUGACAUGCUAGAAACAUAAAUCUUCCAUAUUGUAUCCACAGUUGAAUUUUGCUGUUUUAUGUAUCAUGCUAUGUCACAUUUGAGUUCUGCCAUAUUGUAGGUAAUUUCUAUUAAGAGCUUGAUGCUAUUAUAACUAUAAAUGACAGGUGUUUCCUAGUUUGUCCGUUGAUGCUAAGAUUAAUCCAAGGAAUGCUUCCAUGAAGGUAACUAUCCCAUUACUCUGCCACUUGGGUGCUGCACUGUAUUAGAUCCCCCCCCCUCCCCCGACCAUUGUGCAUUGUUGUUGGUGGGGGGUUUUUUACCAAAAAAACUUUUCAAUUCUGAAGCAGUUUGCUUGCAGAUUAACUUUUAAAAUAAAUUAUGCUGUCCUGAAUAAGAGUCUUUUUGUUGCAUAAUAAAGACUUUUUACCAUGACCUGUCAGAUGGUGAAGAUCUAGCCCAAGUACAUUGAUACUAGAAGGCUUGAUCAUCAGGUUUGCAGACGACACCAAAUUGGGAGGGAUAGCCAAUACUCCAGAAGUUAGGAGCAGAAUUCAAAACAAUCUUAACUGAUUACAUAGUUGGGCCAAAACUAACAAAAUGAAGUUCAAUAGGGACAAAUACAAGAUACUCCACUUAGGCAGAAAAAAUGAUGCAAAGAUACAGAAUGGGGGAUGCCUGGCUCGACAGCAGUAUGUGUCAAAAAGAUCUUUCCUCGUGGGUAGGAAAGUGAACAUGAUCCAACAACGUCAUGUGGCGGCUAAAAAAGCCAAUGGGAAUUUGGCCUGCAUAAAUAGAAGUAUAGUGUCUACAUCCAGGGAAGUCAUUCUACCCCUCUAUUUCGCCUUGGUCAGACCACACCUGGAAUAAAGGGUCUAAUUCUGGGCACCGCAAUUUAAGGAAGAUGUUCACACACUAGAAUGUGUCCAGAGGAGGGCGGCAUAAAGAUUUGGACAUGUUUAGCCUGCAGAAGAGAAGGCUGAAAGGAGACCUGAUGAGGGCCAUGGAUCAGGAUGUGAGGAGAAGUCAUAGGGAGGAGGGAGCAAGCUUGUUUUCUGCUGCCCUGGAGACUAGGGCAUGGAACAACAGCUUUAAACUACAGGAAAGGAGAUUCCACCUGAACAUCAGGAAGAACUUCCUAACCGAGCUGUUCAGCAGUGGAACUCUCUGCCUCGGAGUGUGGUGGGGGCUCCUUCUUUGGAGGCUUUUAAGCAGGGGCUGGAUGGCCAUCUGUCGGGGGUGCUUUGAAUGCGAUUUUCGUGCUUCUUGGCAGGGGGUUGGACUGGAUGGCCCAUGGGGUCUCUUCCAACUCUAUAUAACCCUUUGUUCCCUUAAGGCAGAGGUGUCAAACACCUGGCCUUCCAACUCCCAGAAGCCCUAGCCAGCUUGUCCAAUGCCCAGGAAUUCUGGGAGCUGAAGUCCAAAACACCUGGAGGGCCACAGGUUUGCCAUCACUGCCUUAAGGGAAGGGUUCAUCUGAAGAUUACUUUGUUUUAAUUUUUUGAGGUACAAAUUUGCGCUACACAUUUGACACAAACUUUCAACAGACCAUUCAGUGACUUGUAGUUAAGACACUGCCAUGUUCAUGACAGGAAUCACUAGCAGGCCAUAAUGUCCAGGUUAACUAAAGUGAUGAGAAUACCUACAUUGGAAUAAAGUAGGAAUACCUAUGUUUUGAGGUUCCUUUAUUAAAGGGUUAUGUCAAGUUAUUUUUAAAAGUCGUAGGAAGCUGAAUAGAUUGCUUGAAGCUCAACAUCAGUGGAUACACCCUAGGUUUAAAAUGACCCCACCCUAGUCCAGCUUUUAGUUAUAUCUCUGUUUUGCUUCUCCACCCUACAUUCCAUUUUCCCCAAGAUCUAAAGCUAGCUGUCUUCCCCCCAUGAAAAUAGCCUGUCUUGCUAUAAUUUAACUAUAUAUUUGAAGCCCAUCUCCUCUAUUUUGAGUACUUACCUGGCUUGGCUUAAUUAUUUCCUUAAGCUAGAGAGUAUACUAUUCAUCAAUAUAUAUGUAUAUGUAUAUUAAAAGAAUCUAUGCCACAAGGGUAUUCUGCAUAGUUUUGGCAGCUUUCUCCCAGUGAAGAGAAACAUACAGUAGUAAUAUUACUUCUUGGAGUCUCAUUUGAGAGAGGAAAGUGGAAAAUAACAACAACAGUAGCAGCAGCAGCAGUUUGCAUUGUGAGGACAAUGGUUAUAAAAUUUAUAUCACUUAACAUCACUCUUUUCCAGUUAUAUACAUUUUUAAAAAAACAUGCAAACCCCAAAGUAAACAUUUUCCAUUAAUAACAUGGAAACUAAUUUUGUUGCCUUGGAAAUAUUCUUUAAGAAUAUAAGAGCAAAAAGUUAUGUCUAGUAGAACUUUCUGUUCAUUUAGGAGUCUUAUUGGAAGCCUCCCAGUAGAAUACAACUGCAACUUUGAUCCCACUGUCUUUUGUUUUUUUCAAGUUUUAAAGCCUGAGUAUAUUUUGUUAACUGUUUUGUUUUGUUUUUUUGUUUGGUGAACCUAACAGUAAGUUUCUCUGAAAUCUGGAUUGUUGUUUGCUUUAAUCAUUUUGAGCCUGCUAUUGUAACUCCUUCACCAGACCGCAUUGUAUUUGCUUAUUAACCUAUUUUUUAUUAUAUUUAUAGAAGAAAAUAUACAUGUACUAAAAAUUGGAUAAAUCAUAUGAUGAAAAAUCCACACAAUUAUUAUAUUACCUUCAUGUAAACUAAGCUAGCUAAAUAUAUAUCAAAAACUACAAAUAAUAAAAUAAUAAAAAUAUUACUUCCUAUUAUCUUUUCUGCAGUUAUUUUUUAAAAAUAUUACUUUAUUUAUGUAAAACACCCCAACAGACAUUUUAGAUAUACUAGCUGUGCCCAGCCACGCGUUGCUGUGGCGUUGUCUGGUGGUGUUGGUGAGAAAUGUGAGUUAGUGGUGGUAUUGAAUAUCUGUUGUAUGGUUGUCUUUAUGUUUAGUAUGUAUUUGGUUGUUUGUGUAAUGUGAAAGUGGUGAGAGUAGAGGGGGUCGCUGUGUAGUAUUGUAUAGUAUGCAUACUAUAUGUAUUUAUUGGAUUGUUUUAAAUUGAUUGUUUUAAUUGCUAUGUUUAUUUUUGUACUGUAUACCGGCAUCGAAUUUGCCAGAUUGUGAGCCGCCCUGAGUCCCUUCGGGUGAGAAGGGCGGCAUAUAAAUGGUGGAAAUAAAUAAAUAAAUAAAUAAAUACAUUGUCCAAGUGUUGUGAAUGGUUAGAUUGUGUCUUGGUGCAUAGUAGAAAGGGUUGGGGUGGAUGGCCGUUAGGGGUGUGUCCAAAUUAUUGGAUGGUAUAGUUCUAUGAUUAUUAUUAUUAUUAUUAUUAUUAUUGUUGCUGUUAUCAUCAUGAUUAUUAUCUUUAUUAUCAUCAUUAUUAUUAUAUAGUGGGUGGAUGGCCAUCUGUCAGGAGUGUUUGGAUUGUGUGGUCUUGCAUGGUAGAAGGAGGUUGUACUGGAUGAUUCUUAGGGCUGUCUGCAAACAUAAGGAUUCUGUGAUAUUAGUAUUGUUAUUAUCAAGAGGCUGUAUGGCCAUAUGUUGGGAAUGUUUGAAUUGUGUUUUCCAUGGCAGGAAGGGGUUGGACUGGAUGGGCUUUAGGGGUCUCUCCUAUGUCUGUGACUGUAGGAUUCUAUUAUUAUUUUUAUGGUGGAGAUUGUGGAGAUAUUGGAUGGCCAUCUGUCAGGAGUGUUUGGAUUGUGUGGUCUUGCAUGGUAGAAGGAAGUUGUACUGGAUGAUUGUUAGGGCUGUCUGGAAACAUGAGGAUUCCAUGAUAUUGUUAUUAGCAUUAUCAUUCUCAAGAGGCUGUAUGGCCAUCUGUUGGGAAUGUUUGGAUUGUGUUCUCCAUGGCAGGAAGGGGUUGGACUGGAUGGGCUUUAGGGGUCUCUCCUAUCUGUGUGACUGUAGGAUUCUAUUAUUAUUUUUAUGGUGGAGAUUGUGGAGAUAAGCACCAAAACAUCAUGUUAGACAACACAUUUGGUAGAAAAAGUAGUUCAAUAUGCAGUAAUGUUAUGUUGUAAUUACUGUAUUUACGAAUUUAGCACCAAAAUAUCAUGAUAUAUUGAAAACAUUGACUACAAAAAUGGCUUGGAUAAUCCAGAAACUUGGAUAAGCGAGGCUUGGAUAAGUGAGACUGUACUGUAAAUAAUUCGGAUAAUGGGCGGGCGCUAGGACCCAGGGGACAGCUUUUUCCCAUUGCCUGCCUUCCCUCUUGCCGGCAGCCAUGAGGGCUUCUCUUUUCCCUCCCUGGCAUGGCUCCCGAUGGUGCGUUGUGGGUUCUGUCCAUGUGGAGGUGCGUGACAUGAUUUUGUGUUGUUUCAACCUGAAGGCGUGGAUGAUGGGUUGUGUUGUCAAAUUUCGAGGUUGGGGGGCCUUUACUUUUGCUGUUUUGCUCGGUGCCGCGAUUCCAUAACCCUUUUAUAUAUAUAGAUAAGAAUUUUCUAUGGUUAUGUUUUUACUCAAAAGCUCUUUUCAUCAAUAUACUUAACUCAUUCUGAUUGAUUAGGCCAACAGUCAUAAAAUCUGUCUUUUUGUUUCAAAAAUUCAUUUACUAAGUGGUACAUGAAGCAUACAAGAACCAUUAAAACUAUAUUUAAAAAGCUUAAUGUUCAGAUAAUUAAGGGAAUACACUGUGUUUAAUAACAAACUACAGUUGGAAUUCUAAAACCCAGGAGUCUCAUUAGUGAUCAAUUUAAAGGUCUUGCAAUACAGGAAAAUCCAUCCCAGUGACCUAAAACUAAGAGGAACAUAAUAGGCCUCCUUAUAAACUCCAAAGUCUACCUUCAAAAAUAAUCCUAGUUAAACAACUAAAGACAGAACUAUCUGCAAGAGCUAAACUCUUAGCAGCGCUUCCUGAACAGAUUUUAAUAAUCGAAGAAGCUCUUUUUGAAGCAGAUGCUCUUCUGAGUAGGGAUAAUAGGCUAAAUCAAAUUAUACAAACUACAGUAGACCCGUUGAAUCCCUGUAACUCAAUUAAACUGGGCGUUAUCAAGUUUUACUCUGGUUGGGACUGUAAUUGCAGUUAGGUCUGUCUUUGUUUUAUUGGCCUACUGUACUAUUGGUACCAGAGAAGGAUUAAUCUGAGUUUGGUUCCUGAGCUAACAAAUAUUUAUUAGUGCUAAUUUGGACAACAAACAUAUUUUAUUUUAGACUGCAUGUUUUAUUUUGAUCAGUGGUUCUCAAACUGUCAGUCCCCAGGUGUUUGGCCUACAACUCCCAGAAAUCCCACAGAUUGUGAACCACUAAUUUAGAUCUUAGCAAUUGUGCAGUAUCCCAUAAGUUUGGAAGGAAUAACAAUUAUAAAAUAUGCAAAGUCAUUCUCACCACACAGAAUACUUCUCAUACUGCGAGUGUAAAAGUGAAAUGAUCAAGGAAACAUGAGGCAAUUGAGAUAUUUUUAAAAGGGUUGAUGUUGGUGUUCCUCAGCACAUGUAAAAAAUACCACCAUGCCUCCCCUACAUACUUGCCUAUGUUCAAGAUUAACAGCAUCAAGGAGAACUUCCUUUUAAAUUAAGCUGCAUUUCUUUAUAUAUAUAUUUUUUAUAUUACAGCUUGAAUUUACAUUAUUGUUUUCUCGUUUUGAUUAUAGUAAGCAGGAACAUUAUUUUUACAUGGAAAUUUUCCUUUAAGGUUAUUAAAGCUGGGAUUCUAAUUCCUGACCCUGACUCCUUGCUGUGGCAGAUGGAGGAGGGUUUUCAGUUUGUAUUCCUGCCAUGUCUCAGAUGCAGCUCCCACAAUUUAAUUAAGUUUUUCAUUUAUCUGUGUCAACUUCUAUCAGCAUUGUAUCAUAGUUCAUGGACUUGCCCUUCUUCAUUCUGCAGCAGUAAAUUUAAUCCUGGGCAGUAUAGUUCUUGGUUCAUCAGCUCCAUGAUGUGGAUGUGGAAAGGGAAUUCUGAGACAGAUUUACAAAAAUCUGAAAAUAUUUUGCUGCCCAACCACCUGAUUGAUUGAUAUUUACUAGACAUUUGAAAAAUGUUUGUCUGCCAUUUCUUAAUGGAAACACAGUGAUCUAGUUAUAAGGUUCUUGGAUGAGAUGGAUUACUCUAGAUUCUUUUCAAUCCAGUAUGCACGCUGCUCAUUGGACUGAGUAAGGUUUGGUUGCUUGCUUGGAAACUAGGAGAUGUUCUAGCCUAAUUCUUAAAUUUUAACAGCUUACAGACAGGAGCCCCAGUGGCGAAGUGCGUUAAAUCACUGAGCUGGAGACCGAAAGGUCCCAGGUUUAAACUCCAGGAGCAGCGUGAGUGGCCACUGUUAGCUCCAGCUCCUGCCAACCUAGCAGUUCGAAAACAUGCCAAUAUGAGUAGAUCAAUAGGUACCUCUCCGGCGGGAAGAUAAUGGCGCUCCAUGCAGUCAUGCCGGCCACAUGACCUUGAAGGUGUCUACGGACAACGCCGGCUCUUCGGCUUAGAAAUGGAGAUGAGCACCAACCCCCAGAGUCAGACAUGACUGGACUUAACGUCAGAGGAAACCUUUACCUUUAUCUUAGACUUGCAACAUCUAUCUCGUUGGGCACAGACCUCCUGUUUGAUUUAAUUGGGCUGCCUUCCACAGAUGUAAUUAUUGUAGCUGUAAAAUACUGACAAUCUUAACUUGUAUACCACUGCAAGGAUGUGACUUGACCAUGGUGGUCCAUGCUCUGGUUACCUCAAGGAUGGAUUACUGUAAUGCGCUCUACGUGGGGCUGCCCUUGAAGAUGGUCCGGAAACUGCAGUUGGUACAACGGUCGGCAGCUAGGUUACUAACUGGAGCUGCUUACAGGGAGCGGUCAACCCCCCUGUUCAAGCAGCUCCACUGGCUGCCAAUAAUAUUCCGGGCCCAAUUCAAGGUGCAGGUUAUUACCUAUAAAGCUCUAAACGGUUCGGGACCUGCCUAUCUUCGUGACCGCGUCGUCCCCUAUGAACCCACCCGAUCGCUGAGAUUCCUCCUCUCACUUCCACCCUCCUCACAACUGCAUUUGGUAGGGACGAGAGAGAGGGCCUUCUCGGCCGUGGAUCCCCGACUCUGGAACUCCGUCCCCAGGGAGAUUAGGUUGGCUCCCUCUCUACCUUCCUUCAGGAAGCAGCUGAAGACGUGGAUGUUUCGACAGGCCUUCGGAGAUAGUCAUUAAUUAAUCAGCCCCAGUGGGUUUUUAAUAAUUUAUCCUGUUUUUAUUACGGUCUUACCAUUUAUGUGUUUUAAAUGAAAUUUUUAUCUUAUAUUGUUGUUUAUAUUGAUAUAUUGUAUUAUUGUUUUAUCUUUUUAUAUUGUGAUUGUAUUGUGUUGCUUAUAUUUUGUUCUUAUGUUGUUUGGGCCACUGCCCCAUGUAAGCCGCCCCGAGUCCCCGUGGGGAGAUGGUGGCGGGAUAUAAAUAAAGUUUUAUAUUAUUAUUA